AAAAGAUAAUAAUAAACACAACUGGACGAAAGCUCAAGCAAUGGCGAAGCAAUUGUAUUUGAUAAUUCGUCGAGUUGCUUCGUCGAUGGAGAGUCCUCUUCCUGCUGUUGAUCGACAAAUUACUUGGAGAGAUGAUUUCGAGCGACCAUUGAAAGCUCAGGAGAUUUGCGUAGAAAAGAAAUUACUGCUGCUGUUGUUGGGACGAAAGGGGAGUGAAUGAAAAUCUUCCUCCACCUUCUUCUUCCAUCAUCUUGAUCCGUGAAUCGAAGCAGAGACCGUCGGACUUUCGUCUUUCCCAUUUCUUUCCCAAAUCCCAUCGUCGCAGGUGGUCGAAGUGGGGGGCAUCUCGCGCCCAGACCCAGAAGCACCGGAGUCCCUCUAGUAGAUUCGAGAGCCACCCCACCAAGCGUCGCCCCCCACAUCACACCCACCCACCUCUCAAGCUCACUCCUUUCGUCUGCGGGGACGCCGUCGUCUCGCCGUCGGUGGCGCCUCCGGGAGGACGCAGUGCGCGUUUCUCUUGGUCGCGAUAGAGACACAGAUGAAGCGGCGAGGCGGGAUCGGCUCCUCCGUCCCCGUGACCGUCGUCGUCCUCGCGAUCGGCUUCAUCUACUUCUCCACCGUCUUCGUCUUCAUCGACCGCUGGUUCGGCCUCGCCUCCUCGCCGGGCCUCAUGAACGCGGCCGCCUUCACUGCCGUCGCCCUCAUGUGCGUCUUCAACUACGUCGCUUCCGUCUUCACCGACCCGGGUCGGGUCCCUCCGACCUUCGUGCCCGACGUCGAGGAUGCCGAGACCCCGAUCCACGAGAUCAAGCGCAAGGGUGGAGACUUGAGAUAUUGCCAAAAGUGUUCCCUUUAUAAGCCUCCACGUGCACAUCAUUGUCGAGUUUGCAAAAGAUGUGUUCUGCGAAUGGAUCACCACUGCAUUUGGAUAAACAAUUGUGUUGGCAACGCAAACUACAAGGUCUUCUUUGUAUUUGUGGUCUAUGCGGUAACAGCAUGCAUCUAUUCACUGGUCUUGCUUCUGGGUAGUUUGAUCAAUGAACCUGAAAAGGAUGAACAGGAAAAUGAAGACUCCUCCCGAACGAUAUAUGUUGUUUCGGCGCUGUUGCUUGUACCUCUGUGCAUUGCAUUAAGUGUCCUAUUGGGUUGGCACAUCUACCUUAUUUUGCAUAACAAGACCACAAUUGAGCUCUUAUUCUUUUUCGACAGUAUCAUGAAGGUGUGAGAGCAAUGUGGUUGGCAGAGAAGGGAGGGAGUGUCUAUAAUCAUCCAUAUGAUCUUGGUGCCUACGAAAAUUUGACAACGGUGCUGGGUCCAAAUAUAUUAAGCUGGGUAUGCCCCACGUCUACACACAUCGGUUCCGGUCUUCGCUUCCGCACCUCAUAUGAUGAUUUGGCUGCUCUACCCAAUUCAUAGCCUCUUUUGCGUUGUCAGAAAUCAGUCUCGGGUAAUAUCACAUUCUUUUAACUCACUAAUCGGAGAGCGCUCUCCAUUCGAUUAAGAGGGUCCUAGACUGUUCGCUCCCAUGGCAUUGCAUUCGGGAAUUUCCACGACAAGUUGCUUUCUAGAAUGCCGAAGCUUUUGGCUGCGAGGUUCUUGGGAGGUGCUGAUGCAGCCCUCAAGAUGUGAAAGGGGCGGUGCAGUCUUUGUAAGAUUUGGGUGGAGGGGGGAGUUUGGUCUUUCUACUUGAUUUGUUGUGUCAUAGGUUGUCCUUGAUGUGCGUGCGGAUGGUAUAGAGCUCACACGGUUGUAUGAAAUUCGGCUCACAAUUGUACAAAAAGGAAGGUGUAUAAAAAGGAUCAUUAGAAUUGCUUUUGUAC